rnacentral:rRNA from 1 species
UGCGUAGGGGGCAAGCGCUGUCCGGAUUUAUUGGGCGUAAAGAGCGUGUAGGCGGCCAAACAGGUCAGCUGUGAAAACUCGAGGCUCAACCUCGAGACGUCGGUUGAAACCGUUUGGCUAGAGUCCGGAAGAGGAGAGUGGAAUUCCCGGUGUAGCGGUGAAAUGCGCAGAUAUCGGGAAGAACACCCGUGGCGAAGGCGGCUCUCUGGGACGGUACUGACGCUGAGACGCGAAAGCGUGGGGAGCGAACAGG